rnacentral:rRNA from 1 species
AAUUAAGGUAGGCUCAAGUUAAGAUUUUGGUUGUGAACAUAAUGGUAUAAUCUUGUGUGACUGUGAAAUUGAUUGAUCGAACAAAGAUGAAAUUCGACAAUAGU